GGCCUGUGAUGAUUCAACAAUAUUUGCUACUCUUGAUGGGCAAAUAUUUUUUCCCAUCUGAUGACUCCCAUCCACCAAGAUCUCUGAGGCU